CAGGAAUAAAGCCAAACCCGUUGCGAAGCGGGGACGGAAAGCUGCGGGUCUCCCCGUCAGGGAAGUCAGCCGGGCUGCUCCU
rnacentral:ncRNA from 1 species